UAGUCCACGCCGUAAACGAUGGUUACUAGCUGUUCGAACUUCGGUUUGAGUGGCUAAGCGAAAGUGAUAAGUAACCCACCUGGGGAGUACGUUCGCAAGAAUGAAACUCAAAGGAAUUGACGGGGGCCCGCACAAGCGGUGGAGCAUGUGGUUUAAUUCGAUGAUACGCGAGGAACCUUACCAGGGCUUAAAUGUAGAGUGACAGAUCUAGAGAUAGAUUUUUCUUCGGACACUCUACAAGGUGCUGCAUGGUUGUCGUCAGCUCGUGCCGUGAGGUGUCAGGUUAAGUCCUAUAACGAGCGCAACCCCUGUUGUUAGUUGCCAGCGAGUAAUGUCGGGAACUCUAGCAAGACUGCCGGUGCAAACCGUGAGGAAGGUGGGGAUGACGUCAAAUCAUCACGGGCCCUUACGUCCUGGGGCCACACACGUGCUACAAUGGUAGGGGACAGAGAGCAGCCACCUCGUGAGAGGGGAGCGAAUCUAUAAACCCUAUCUCAGUUCGGGAUCGGGA
rnacentral:rRNA from 1 species